UGAGUGUGUCCUCGUUAUAAAAGCAGCUCAGUGAGAUCAGUGGAAAGUCGUCUCCACUCGUCUCUGCGUCAGGUGUCGACACGUCGAGUCACGAUGAGUCCGAAACACGUUGUCUUCAAGAAAGUUUCCCGCGACAAGUUGGUUACCGUCUACAUGGCCCAGAGAGACUUUGUGGAUCACUGCAGCUUUGUGGAUCCAGUCGAUGGAGUGAUCCUCGUCGACCCGCAGCUGCUGCAGGGGAAGAAAGUGUACGUGAUGUUGUCGUGCACGUUUCAAUACGGCCGUCAGGACAUGGACGUGUUGGGCGUGGCCUUCAGGAGGGACCUGUUCCUGGUGACUCGUCAGGUUUAUCCUGAGCUGCAGGACAAAGACAGUCUAACUCACACUAAGAUCCAAAGGAAGCUGCUGCAAAAGCUCGGAGACAACGCAUUCCCCUUCUUCUUUGAGUUUCCAGACAACCUGCCGUGUUCCGUCGCUCUGCAGCCGGGGCCUUCUGAUGUGGGAAAGAAAUGUGCCGUGGAGUUUGAGGUUAAAGCGUUCUGUGGUCAGCACCAGGACGAGAAGACCAACAAACAGAGUUCAGUUCGUCUCAGUAUCCGUAAGAUCCAGUUCAGUCCAGAGAACCAGGACCUGGUUCCUGUGGCAGAGAGCACCUUCGAGUUCCUGAUGUCAGAGAGACCUCUGUCCGUCAAGCUGAGCCUGUCCAAAGAGACGUUUUAUCAUGGUGAGCCGGUCAUGGUGAACGUUGACAUCACAAACUCAUCCAACAGGAACAUCAAAGACAUCAGUGUGUCAGUCGAGCAGGUGACCAAUGUCGUUCUCUACUCCAACGACAAAUACGUCAAGUCCGUCGCUAAAGAGGAAACAGAGGACUGUGUUCCAUGUGGGACGUCGCUGAAGAAACACUACACUCUGUUUCCUGGUCUGACUCACAACAAAGAUCGUAGAGGAGUCGCCUUGGACGGACGACUGAAACAUGAAGACACAAGCCUGGCUUCAUCCAGCAUUGUGAAACAGGAAGUGAUGAAGGAUGUUCAGGGGAUACUGGUGUCGUAUAAAGUGGUGCUGAGGAUGAUCGCCAGUGGGACGCUGGCAUCAAGUGAGGUGUCUCUGGAGGUUCCGUUCAGACUCAUGAACCCUAAACCUGAACCAGGUAAAUUCAAACUGUCCAAACAGAAGCUGAGUCCUGAUCCUAUGAAUAAUUCAUGUUCCUGGGCCCUGUACUACGAAGCAGGUUCACAUGACCUGUUUAUCCAGCUGAACCUAACACAGUCAGGCCAAGUGGUCACACCAAGUUAAGUUAACUCAGGCUUUCCACAUCAAGAUGUGAGCAUGUGCCAGUAAAUGGGCGGGAUUUACUGCAUAUGACCAAUCACAGACAUGGACAGAUUGACUGACAGCCGAGCUGAGGAUCAAACUGUUAUAUAUUAAAAAUCAGAGCAGAACAAACAUCCAGAAUAAAAGAAACAGUUCCAGCUGCUAAAUGCAGAAGAACAUCUGGUAAAACAUCUGGGAUUGAUUUGAUAGUAAAACUGUUCAUUAACAAGAGCAGAUCUGAAUCUAAUCUUGUAGUUUUGUGUUUCCAGCACAUGUCAUUUACAUUUAAUAUAUAAUAAUAUAUAUUCUCAUUGUGUGUCUGACACUUUGAGUCUUUCAGGCGAAACCCUGGUUCCUUCAGGCUCAGGAGGAAAUCACACACACAGGUAUAGAGAAUACUCUAGAGAAGGAAGUAGACUCCUUUUCAUAUCUUUUCAAUACAACAGGUACAACACUUCUACUUCUACUAUAUAUUGAUAUCAGUACACACAGGUUUGAACUAACGUCAGAUACUAAAAGAAAAGUAGAAAACCAUGAAGAACUAUAAAACCAAAGGAAAGACAUUGUUCUCAUUGUGUCAGAUGUAGAUUAGAACUAUUUACCAUGUUGAUUUAACACGUUAACCUGAAGUCACCUGACGACCUCAGAUCCUGCUUCCUGGUUCAGGUCCAGGUGAAAUCCUGAUGUUACACGUUGAAUCCUGGGAAUUCCACAUCAAAAAUCUUUGUUACUUUUAGUUUUCUUUAACAUUGUUUUUCACUCAUGACUUUUUUCUCUUUCAUCACUUCCUGUUUCAAUCGUCUCCUCAGCCAAAGAGAGUGAACCUGACGACAUGGUGUUCGAGGACUUUAAGCGAGCCUACCUGAAGGGCGUGGUCUACGGAGAUGAUGAUGAGUCUCCUACUGAGGCGUGAAGAGCGUGACUGUCGUCUGUCUCCUUCCAGAGCUGAAGACAAAGACAGGAUGUGUCCUGCAGCGCCCCCCUCAGGACAAACAUCCCAUUCAGCUGUGCUGCUGUUCUGUGGUACAGUGACUCAGGCUGCAGGGGGCGCUGUGGGGAACCAACUGACUUGUGGCUCCGGAGUUCUACUUGCUGUUGAAUGUUCUGAAGCUGCUCAGUAACGAUGUAUUGAUCCGUUGUCAGGAGCGGGUGUUAGCAUCUUUGUUUAGUUGAUGACAAAAGGCUUUCUGUCUAAAUAAAACAAACUAUUGUGAUCA